AUCAUAUCUCAUUUGCAGUUUCUGGAAGGGCCUGGAUUGUUGAGCAGACGGUGACUGUCCGUAGGACAGGUAUACCGAGUUGGAUACGAGUCAUUAACCAUGUACUUCUGGCCUACUCUGGUGCUUUUUGGAGCUCUAAUCUCUGCACUAGCUCCUGCGGGAUCUGCUUUCGAAAGUCCAUGCUGCGAAUGUAAGCCGCAACAGCCAUUGUGUGUCCACAAAUUACCAUGCUGCGAACGUAAGAAUAAGUAUAAAAUAAAGUAAGACAGCACUCAUA